rnacentral:tRNA from 3 species
GGAGCGGUAGUUCAGUCGGUUAGAAUACCUGCCUGUCACGCAGGGGGUCGCGGGUUCGAGUCCCGUCC